rnacentral:rRNA from 1 species
UACGUAGGGUGCGAGCGUUAAUCGGAAUUACUGGGCGUAAAGCGUGCGCAGGCGGUUCGACAAGUCCGAUGUGAAAGCCCCGGGCUCAACCUGGGAAUGGCAUUGGAAACUGGCGAGCUUGAGUGUGGCAGAGGGGGGUGGAAUUCCGCGUGUAGCGGUGGAAUGCGCAGAUAUCAGGAGGAACACCAAUAGCGAAGGCAGCUCGCUGGGACGUUACUGACACUGAGGCGCGAAAGCGUGGGGAGCGAACAGG